rnacentral:lncRNA from 1 species
AUUCAUUGAGUUGGGGAUCAAUAAUAUCGAUAAGACUGGCAUGUCCAAUGUAUGCUCAGUGAUGAGGAUGGUUGAUCUCACAACUACUUAUGUAGUGACACUAAUACAAAGAUAUGGAUGCUCAUUAGAGAAUGGGUUCACUAAAUAAAUCUAUGUGAGAACAUCUGAUGGAGUCUUGUUUAUAUAUCAGCUGAUUGUUCUCUAGUGAGAGUUGUGCAAGUGAUCCUUUCACCUG